rnacentral:rRNA from 1 species
CCUACGGGUGGCAGCAGUGGGGAAUAUUGCACAAUGGGGGGACCCCUGAUGCAGCAAAGCCGCGUGGGUGAAGAAGUACUUCGGUAUGGAAAGCCCUGUCAGCAGGGAAGAAAAUGACGGUACCUGACCAAGAAGCCCCGGCUCCCUACGUGCCAGAAGCCGCGGGAAUACGGAGGGGGCAGGCGUUAUCCGGAUUUACUGGGUGUAAAGGGAGCGUAGACGGGAAGGCAAGUCUGGAGUGAAAGCCGAUGGCUCAACCACGGGACUGCUUUGGAAACUGGGUUGCUGGAGUGCAGGAGGGGUAAGCGGAAUGCGUGGUGUAGCGGUGAAAUGCGUAGAUAUUAGGAGGAACGCCGGUGGCGAAGGCGGCUUACUGGACUGUAACUGACGUUGAGGCUCGAAGGCGUGGGGAGCAAACAGGAUUAGAUACCCGGGUAGUC